rnacentral:rRNA from 1 species
GACGAACGCUAGCGGCGUGCUUAACACAUGCAAGUCGAACGGAAAGGCCCUGCUUUUGUGGGGUGCUCGAGUGGCGAACGGGUGAGUAACACGUGAGUAACCUGCCCUUGACUUUGGGAUAACUUCAGGAAACUGGGGCUAAUACCGGAUAGGAGCUCCUGCUGCAUGGUGGGGGUUGGAAAGUUUCGGCGGUUGGGGAUGGACUCGCGGCUUAUCAGCUUGUUGGUGGGGUAGUGGCUUACCAAGGCUUUGACGGGUAGCCGGCCUGAGAGGGUGACCGGCCACAUUGGGACUGAGAUACGGCCCAGACUCCUACGGGAGGCAGCAGUGGGGAAUAUUGCACAAUGGGCGGAAGCCUGAUGCAGCAACGCCGCGUGCGGGAUGACGGCCUUCGGGUUGUAAACCGCCUUCGCCUGUGACGAAGCGUGAGUGACGGUAAUGGGUAAAGAAGCACCGGCUAACUACGUG